rnacentral:rRNA from 1 species
CCUUUUUAAGUACCUUUCGUUUCCUCGGCAGGCUCGCCUGCCGAUGGACCCCCCAAAAAACACUUUGCAGUACCUGUAAUAGUCUGAACAACAAACAAAAAAUUAAAACUUUCAACAACGGAUCUCUUGGUUCUGGCAUCGAUGAAGAACGCAGCGAAAUGCGAUAAGUAGUGUGAAUUGCAGAAUUCAGUGAAUCAUCGAAUCUUUGAACGCACAUUGCGCCCUUUGGUAUUCCUUAGGGCAUGCCUGUUCGAGCGUCAUUUAAACCUUCAAGCUCAGCUUGGUGUUGGGUGACUGUCCGCUGCCCUCGGGUGCGGACUCGCCUCAAAAUCAUUGGCGGCCGGUACAUUGGCUUCGAGCGCAGCAGAAACGCGAACUCGGAACCGAUGUAUUAGCUCCCAGAAGCUAUCUUCAUAAUUUUGACCUCGGAUCAGGUAGGGAUACCCGCUGAACUUAAGCAUAUCAAUAAGCGGAGGAAAAGAAACCAACAGGGAUUGCCCUAGUAACGGCGAGUGAAGCGGCAACAGCUCAAAUUUGAAAUCUGGCUCUUUCAGGGUCCGAGUUGUAAUUUGUAGAGGGUGCUUUGGAGUUGACUGUGGUCUAAGUUCCUUGGAACAGGACGUCGCAGAGGGUGAGAAUCCCGUAUGUGGCCGCCAGUCUUCGCCGUGUAAAGCCCCUUCGACGAGUCGAGUUGUUUGGGAAUGCAGCUCUAAAUGGGAGGUAAAUUUCUUCUAAAGCUAAAUAUUGGCCAGAGACCGAUAGCGCACAAGUAGAGUGAUCGAAAGAUGAAAAGCACUUUGGAAAGAGAGUCAAAAAGCACGUGAAAUUGUUGAAAGGGAAGCGCUUGCAGCCAGACUUGCCUGUAGUUGCUCAUCCGGGCUUUUGCCCGGUGCACUCUUCUAUAGGCAGGCCAGCAUCAGUCCUGGCGGUUGGAUAAAUGCCUGUUGAAUGUACCUCUCUUCGGGGAGGACUUAUAGCUUCGGGCGGCAUACAACCAGCUGG